UUGGAGGGCAAGUCUGGUGCCAGCAGCCGCGGUAAUUCCAGCUCCAAUAGCGUAUAUUAAAGUUGUUGCAGUUAAAAAGCUCGUAGUUGAAUUUCGGGGUUAGUAGGUUGGUCAUGCCUCUGGUAUGUACUGGUCUCACUGAUUCCUCCUUCCUGAUGAGCCGUAAUGCCAUUAAUUUGGUGUUGCGGGGAAUUUGGACUGUUACUUUGAAAAAAUUAGAGUGUUUAAAGCAAGCUAACGCUUGAAUACAUUAGCUUGGAAUAAUGAAAUAGGACGUUCGAUCCUAUUUUGUUGGUUUCUAGGAUUGACGUAAUGAUUAAUAGGGAUAGUUGGGGGCAUUAGUAUUCAAUUGUCAGAGGUGAAAUUCUUGGAUUUAUUGAAGACUAACUACUGCGAAAGCAUUUGCCAAGGAUGUUUUCAUUAAUCAAGAACGAAAGUUAGGGGAUCGAAGACGAUCAGAUACCGUCGUAGUCUUAACCAUAAACUAUGCCGACUAGGGAUCGGAUGAUGUUAAUUUUUUAAUGACUCAUUCGGCGCCUUACGGGAAACCAAAGUGUUUGGGUUC
rnacentral:rRNA from 1 species